CGAACAUGCCAUAAGGAAAGCAGGCUCACCUUAAAUCAGCGGUGCUCUGUCUGAUGUUUUAGACUCAGAUACAUUAUGAACAUCUGCACCAUCAGCAGACGUGAGGACAGUAUGUGAGACACCUGUAUACUGCACAUGUGUCAGUGAUGCCUAACGCAUUAGUUCUCAUGUGCAACUCGUCGUCUUCAGCCUGCUUUUGUGUGGAGGAAAAAGUGGAGGAAAUCAAGUCAAAUGCGGUUGAAACCACAAGAAGAAAGCAGCCAUUACUGUAAACGCUAUCAGAAGAGAACCCACUUCACCUCUCCUCGAGCAGAUACGAUGAACCCUGUUCUCUAGGCCUCGGUUAGGAAAGCAGGCUCUGUUUUUAGAGCUGUCAGAGCCACACACCCAGCGUGGGCGACGUUUGCUGUGUGAAGGGAAGCUCAGGCACAAACCCUGUAAUCUGGGGUCAUCACUCCUCCCCAGAGAUCCCAUCUCCUCACGCAACUCAACGAUCAGAUA
ensembl:lncRNA